rnacentral:rRNA from 1 species
AUUGAACGCUGGCGGCAGGCCUAACACAUGCAAGUCGAACGGUAACAGGAAGCGGCUUGCUGCUUUGCUGACGCGUGGCGGACGGGUGUGUAAUGUCUGGGAAACUGCCCGAUGGAGGGGGAUAACUCGUGGAAACGGUAGCUAAUACCGCAUAACGUCGCAAGCCCAAAGAGGGGGACCUUAGGGCCUCUUGCCAUCGGAUUUGCCCAGAUGGGAUUAGCUAGUAGGUGGGGUAACGGCUCACCUAGGCGACGAUCCGUAGCUGGUCUGAGAGGAUGAUCAGCCACACUGGAACUGAGACACGGUCCAGACUCCUACGGGAGGCAGCAGUGGGGAAUAUUGCACAAUGGGCGCAAGCCUGAUGCAGCCAUGCCGCGUGGAUGAAGAAGGCCUUCGGGUUGUAAAGUACUUUCAGCGGGGAGGAAGGGAGGAAAGUUAAUACCUUUGCUCAUUGACGGUACCCAAAGAAGAAGCACCAGCUAACUCCGUG